UACGAAGGGGGCUAGCGUUGCUCGGAAUCACUGGGCGUAAAGCGCACGUAGGCGGAUCGUUAAGUCAGGGGUGAAAUCCUGGAGCUCAACUCCAGAACUGCCUUUGAUACUGGGAGUCUUGAGUUCGGGAGAGGUGAGUGGAACUGCGAGUGUAGAGGUGAAAUUCGUAGAUAUCGCAAGAACACCAGUGGCGAAGGCGGCUCACUGGCCCGAUACUGACGCUGAGGUGCGAA
rnacentral:rRNA from 1 species